UACGUAGGGUGCGAGCGUUGUCCGGAAUUACUGGGCGUAAAGAGCUCGUAGGUGGUUUGUCGCGUUGUUCGUGAAAACUCACAGCUCAACUGUGGGCGUGCGGGCGAUACGGGCAGACUGGAGUACUGCAGGGGAGACUGGAAUUCCUGGUGUAGCGGUGGAAUGCGCAGAUAUCAGGAGGAACACCGGUGGCGAAGGCGGGUCUCUGGGCCGAUACUGACGCUGAGGAGCGAAAGCGUGGGGAGCGAACGGG
rnacentral:rRNA from 1 species